rnacentral:rRNA from 1 species
UACGGAGGGUGCAAACGUUACUCGGAAUUACUGGGCGUAAAGCGUGCGUAGGUGGUUUGUUAAGUCUGUUGUGAAAGCCCCGGGCUCAACCUGGGAAUGGCAAUGGAUACUGGCAAGCUAGAGUGCGGUAGAGGGUAGUGGAAUUCCCGGUGUAGCGGUGAAAUGCGUAGAGAUCGGGAGGAACACCAGUGGCGAAGGCGGCUACCUGGACCAGCACUGACACUGAGGCACGAAAGCGUGGGGAGCAAACAGG